CUGAAGUUCACCUAUGUGCUGGUUGGCUGGGAAGGGUCAACACAUGAUGCCAACAUUCUCAGUGACAGUACGAGUCGUCCAGGUGGCAUCAACAUCCCCGAUGGCAAGUUCUACCUAGAAGAUGUUGGUUAUGCAUGUCGGCCAGGUAUUCUUCCACCCUUCAGGAAAACCAGAUACCAUCUGAACGAGUUCGAUGGUAGGAGCUAUCCUAAGACUCCACAGGAGUUAUUUAAUCUCAAACACUCUAUCCUUAGAGUUACUGUUGAGAGGGCCUUUGGAGCUCUAAAGAACGGGUUUAAGAUCCUAGAUCAGAAGCCAUUCCACACUUUCCCCACUCAGGUUAAGCUUGUUCUUGCUUGUUGCAUUCCGCAUAACUGGAUCAUGCAAUAUGUUUGUGAUGAACUGGUGCCUAAGGAGGAAUAUGUGACGCCUGACGAUGUUGUCAGCUCCGGUCAUGGUGUGGAUGCAUUUGACAACGAAGGCUGA
rnacentral:rRNA from 1 species